UUGGAGGGCAAGUCUGGUGCCAGCAGCCGCGGUAAUUCCAGCUCCAAUAGCGUAUAUUAAAGUUGGUGCAGUUAGAAAGCUCGUAGUUGAAUUUUGGAUUCGGCCAAUUGGUCCAUCUUUUAGAUGAGUACUGGUUGUGUUGGGUCUAUCCGCCUGGUGAUACGUAAUGUCCUUAAUUGGGUGUUGCGGGUAGUCAGGACCUUUACCUUGAGAAAAUUAGAGUGUUUAAAGCAGGCUUAUGCCGGAAUACAUUAGCAUGGAAUAAUAGAAUAGGACGAAGUUGUUUUAUUUUGUUGGUUUCUAGGACAACCGUAAUGAUUAAUAGGGAUAGUUGGGGGCAUUAGUAUUCAAUUGUCAGAGGUGAAAUUCUUGGAUUUAUUGAAGACUAACUACUGCGAAAGCAUUUGCCAAGGAUGUUUUCAUAAUCAAGAACGAAAGUUAGGGGAUCGAAGACGAUCAGAUACCGUCGUAGUCUUAACCAUAAACUAUGCCGACUAGGGAUCGGGCGAUGUUGUUUCCAUGACUCGCUCGGCACCUUAUGGGAAACCAAAGUGUUUGGGUUC
rnacentral:rRNA from 1 species